GGACAACUUUUGUAUUAUGUAUGUUUCUUGUGCAACGUGAAAAACAUACACUACCGUUCAAAAGUUUGGGGUCACUUAGAAAUGUCCUUGUUUUUGAAAGAAAAGCACAUUUUAUGUCCAUAAAAUAACAUACUUCAACUGAACAGUUAACUACUGAACUCCUAACCUCUGACCCACUGACUACUGUACCUGUUCAAAACACCCCCUCAACACCUGUACAAACUACAUUCAACACCACAGAACAUACUUCACCAGAACAGUUAACUACUGAACUCCUAACCUCUGACCCACUGACUACUGUACCUGUUAAAAAACCAGCUACAUUCAACACCACAGAACAUACUUCACCAGAACAGUUAACUACUGAACUCCUAACCUCUGACCCACUGACUACUGUACCUGUUCAAAAACCAACUACAUCCAAUACCACAGUGCGUGUUUCUACUGAAGAGGCAACUCCUGAACGCUCAACCGCUAACCAAGCCACUACUGCUUACUUACCUGAAACAACUGUUGGAAACACUCCCUCAACACCAGUACCAACCAUGUUCAAUGCCACAGUGCAUGUUUCUACUGAACACCUAACCUCUGACCCAGCAACUACUGUACCUGUUCAAAGCAAUAUCUCAAUGCCUGUACCAGCUACAUUAACUAGAGAGCAAGCAACUACUGGUUACAUACCUACAAGCGCUACUUUCAAUACCACAGUGCAUGUUUCUACUGAACACACAAGCUCUGAUCAAGCAAUUACUGAACCUGUUCAAAACACUCCUACAUCUGUACCAGUAAUAUUCACUACCACAGACCAAGUGACUACUAGUUACAUACCUACAAGUACCUCGACUGCACCUGUCCAAAAUAAUCCCUCAUCGUCUGUACAAACUACAUUCAACACCACAGAACAUACUUCACCAGAACAGUUAACUACUGAACUCCUAACCUCUGACCCACUGACUACUGUACCUGUUAAAAAACCAGCUACAUUCAACACCACAGAACAUACUUCACCAGAACAGUUAACUACUGAACACCUAACCUCUGACCCACUGACUACUGUACCUGUUCAAAACACCCCCUCAACACCUGUACAAACUACAUUCAACACCACAGAACAUACUUCACCAGAACAGUUAACUACUGAACUCCUAACCUCUGACCCACUGACUACUGUACCUGUUAAAAACACGACCUCAACACCUGUACCAACUACAUUCAACACCACAGAACAUACUUCACCAGAACAGUUAACUACUGAACUCCUAACCUCUGACCCACUGACUACUGUACCUGUUCAAAACACCCCCUCAACACCUGUACCAACUACAUCCAAUACCACAGUGCGUGUUUCCACUGAAGAGGCAACUCCUGAACGCUCAACCGCUAACCAAGCCACUACUGCUUACUUACCUGAAACAACUGUACCUGUUGGAAACACUCCCUCAACACCAGUACCAACUGCGUUCAAUACCACAGUGCAUGUUUCUACUGAACUCCUAACCUCUGACCCACUGACUACUGUACCUGUUCAAAGCAUUAUCUCAUCGUCUGCACCAACUACCACAGAACAUGCUUCAACUGAAAUGUUAACUACUGGUUACUCAACUAGAGAGGAAGCAACUACUGGUUACUUACCUACAAGUGCUUCUGCUUCAAACGUCCAAAACAGUCCCUCAACACCAGUACCAACCCCAUUCAAUACCACAGAACAUGCUUCAACUGAACAGUUAACUACUGAACACCUAACCUCUGACCCACUGACUACUGUACCUGUUCAAAACACCCCCUCAACACCAGUACAAACUACAUUCAACACCACAGAACAUACUUCAACUGAACACCUAACCUCUGACCCACUGACUACUGUACCUGUUAAAAAACCAACUGCAUUCAAUAUCACAGUAAAUGUUACUAAACAGUUGACUACUGAACUCCUAACCUCUGACCAAGCGACUAUUGUACCUGUUCAAAACAAUAUCUCUAUAUCUGUACCAGCUUCAUUGAUUUCCACAGAACAUGUUUCAUCUGAACAGUUAGCUAAUGAACACCUAACCUCUGACCCAGCAACUACUGUACCUGUUCAAAGCAAUAUCUCUAUAUCUGUACCAGCUUCAUUGAUUUCCACAGAACAUGUUUCAUCUGAACAGUUAACUAAUGAACACCUAACCUCUGACCCAGCAACUACUGUACCUGUUCAAAGCAAUAUCUCAAUGCCUGUACCAACUACAUUAACUAGAGAGCAAGCAACUACUGGUUACAUACCUACAAGCGCUACUUUCAAUACCACAGUGCAUGGUUCUACUGAACACACAACCUCUGAUCAAGCAAUUACUGAACCUGUUCAAAACACUCCUACAUCUGUACCAGUAAUAUUCACUACCACAGACCAAGUGACUACUAGUUACAUACCUACAAGUACCUCGACUGCACCUGUCCAAAAUACUCCCUCAUCGUCUGUACAAACUACAUUCAACACCACAGAACAUACUUCACCAGAACAGUUAACUACUGAACUCCUAACCUCUGACCCACUGACUACUGUACCUGUUCAAAAACCAGCUACAUUCAAUACCACAGAACAUACUUCACAAGAACAGUUAACUACUGAACUCCUAACCUCUGACCCACUGACUACUGUACCUGUUCAAAACACCCCCUCAACACCAGUACAAACUAUAUUCAACACCACAGAACAUACUUCAACUGAAAUGUUAACUACUGGAUACUUACCUAUACGUGCUUCUGCUUCAAACGUCCAAAACAGUCCCUCAACACCAGUACCAACCACAUUCAACACAACAGAACAUGCUUCAACUGAACAGUUAACUACUGAACACCUAACCUCUGACCCACUGACUACUGUACCUGUUCAAAACACCCCCUCAACACCAGUACAAACUACAUUCAACACCACAGAACAUACUUCACCAGAACAGUUAACUACUGAACUCCUAACCUCUGACCCACUGACUACUGUACCUGUUAAAAACACGACCUCAACGUCUGUACCAACUACAUCCAAUACCACAGUGCGUGUUUCCACUGAAGAGGCAACUCCUGAACGCUCAACCGCUAACCAAGCCACUACUGCUUACUUACCUGCAACAACUGUUGGAAACACUCCCUCAACACCAGUACCAACCAUGUUCAAUGCCACAGUGCAUGUUUCUACUGAACACCUAACCUCUGACCCACUGACUACUGUUCCUGUUCAAAACAGUCCCCCAACGUCUAUACCAACUACAUUCAAUAGAACAGACCAAGUUUCAACUGAACAGUUAACUACUGAACACCUAAAUACAGAAAGUGCACUUACUGUACCUUUUCAAAGCAUUAUCUCAUCGUCUGCACCAACUACCACAGUACAUGCUUCAACUGAAAUGUUAACUACUGAACACUCAACUACAGAGAAAGUGACUACUGAUUUCUCACCUACAAGAGCUUCUAAUGCUAAUGUCCAAAACAUUUCCUCAACGUCUUUACCAAGUACAUUCAAUACCACAGUGCAUGUUUCAACUGAAGAGGCGACUACUAAACACCUUACUACUGAGAAUGUAAAACAUCAAUCAACAACUGAGACUGCAGACACAGAAAUGCAACACAGCAUUACACAAGUGACUACUGAACAUACUUUAUAACCACAGUGGCUGAGACUGCCCCAUACAGUACUACAGGGCCUGUCAGUCUCUCCACUGUUAUGCCAAAUGAAAACAGUCAAGGUUUAAGUCCAGACAACCUGAUAUUGAUCCAUGAGAACAUGACGUGGAACGAGGCCCUGAGCUACUGCAGAGAGCACCACGUUGACCUGGUCUCGAUCACUACAGAGCUGCUUCAGUACUGGGUGACAGAGAGGGCUGCCGACGCCACCUCAUCCCACGUCUGGGUGGGCCUGCGCUUCACCUGUUCAUUCCACUUCUGGUUCUGGAUCAGGUCUGAUGCAGGCUGCUACCAGAACUGGGCCCCCGGGCACGGCUCAGACAGCCAGCAGGACUGUGGGAUUGCAGGGGCUGUACAGACCACCGGGAGGCAGCAAUGGGUUAGUCUGGAGGAGAACCAGAGGCUCAACUUCAUCUGCUACAAAUGUUCUGGGGACAGUGGUGAGGGGUUGAUACAUCCCUGAUUCGGACAACUUUUGUAUUAUGUAUGUUUCUUGUGCAACGUGAAAAACAUACACUACCGUUCAAAAGUUUGGGGUCACUUAGAAAUGUCCUUGUUUUUGAAAGAAAAGCACAUUUUAUGUCCAUAAAAUAACAUCAAGUUGAUCAGGAACAUAGUGUAGAUAUUG